GGAGAUUAAUGAAAGAUUGUGGCUAAAUUUACCAGGUAGAUAAGAGAGAAUUUACCAGGUGAUGGCAAACCUUAUGAUAAGCACAUCACAGGCAGAUCCACCCCAGCGUAUCUGUUUGCACCAGGGAGCUGUAGCUUUAGGCAGCGAGUGAAGCAGUGGAGGCGUAACAAAGAGCCAGGGGAAGACAGCUGGAGAGCUUGGCAGAGAUGAGAGGAGCUGCAGCUCUCUUUCUCCUCUCCCUUUCCCAUUCCCUCCUUGUGGCUGCCUCUGCAGAAAGAGCAAAGUCAAACAAAGGAGGACGAGAGGAGAAAGAGGAGCAAUGAUGCGACUCCACACUCCCACUGUGCCUGGCUGCUUGAGCGGGCCCGAUGCUCCCUGGAGACCCUGAACUGCUCAGAUGACUGCAGGCAUAGGCUGCAGCAGAGGCGGCUCAACGCCGUUUCUCCACCAGACAGUACACAGCAGGGGCGGAAUUGUCACCUGGUGUAAGCGCUGCACUCAGGGGGAUAAAGCAAGGUGCCUAAAAGAACUGAAAUUAUUCCUCACUGAAGAUCAAGUGUAGAUCAAUCUAUCCCUGAGAGACAAAAUGGCUUGAGAUUUGUCAUUAGCAGUGCAGCCCUCUGAGCCGCCAGGAGCCCUAUUUCUCAUCUCAGCUCGACAUCUGCAUGCAGACACAUGAAUAAAUAAUGGCCCAAGCUUUCAAGGCCAUACUGGCUCUAGCUACUUUGCCAGGGCAUGACAACUCUAGCCUCAAAGAGAGGCGCGGUUAAAGCUAUAAAACAUCAGUACGAGCUGCCAGCUUCAUCUAAAGCAGUGGAUAAGAUGACUCUGUUUGUGAUUACAUUUGCGCACCAUAGUGCACAGUGGUGACAGAAGUGUGAGCUUUCCCGCCACAGGAUCUGAAAGGAUGUUUGGUCGAACCAGGCUAGAAAAACAAGGGGGGAGGAGACGCUGAAACCUUGUGAGGGUUUCUUUCUCCCCCUCAUCUAUCAGUCACUGGUACGCAGGGGGCGGCUAAAUUUAGCCACAAAAACCAGUUCAGCAGCGAGGCUGGGAUGACAGAGUACUCUUCAGUGGCGGUCAUAAAUUCACACCCAACUGUUCUGGAUUUACAAUUCUUUCUCAAUUCUCUUCAUUCCUCCUCCCUGCCCUCAGUCCCUCUCUCUCUGGAUCAUUAUGCUGCAAAUGGGGUACAGAGUGGAAAGUAGGGCUCAUCUGUUAUCAGGACUAUGCUGGGCUUCAGUCCUGACACCGUGCACUGUUAAAGGAUCAUAGAUAUUUCAAAGUCUCAAAAUAAGGCUCAAAAUACCAUUUAAGUGAAAAAUGGGGUGAAUUGAUCAUUUUCACCUGUUGAACAGCUCAGGUUGAGAAUUCAGUGACCACUUUAGCCACAGAGACUUUUAUGGAUCUGCAGUAGUUAUGUUUGGCAGUACGGCUCUGUUCUGGGACCCCCCUGCUCUUCCACAUGCCUAUAUGGGAAGCCAUAAGGUGGGGGAAAGCAGCAGCAAAGCUUUUUUGUCACAGUGAAGUCACCAGGUUUGGUGUCAUCAACCAAACCUAAAUCUGUGCACACUGGCUAUAUCAGGUAACCCUCACUGUAGCUGGAGGCACUGCACAAAAGCACUGAGUGGAUGGUUAAACUGUUUCGUCCUGACUUCAGCUCUGUAUUUAACACAAAGACAUGACAGACUCUUCUCAUCUCACUCACGGAAAGAAAGCAAAUAAACUUUGUCAUAAAAUGUU